GGGUUCCUGCGUAAAGCUAAUCUGCGCAGGGUUAGCCGGCCCCUAAGGCGAGGCCGAAAGGCGUAGUCGAUGGGAACCACGUUAAUAUUCGUGGGCCUGGAGAUGUGUGACGGAUGGCGGAAGUAGUUCAACCUUAACGGAUUGGUUGGGCUGCCAAGUUGUCCCGGGAAAUAGCCUCUCCAUAUAGACCGUACCCGAAACCGACACAGGUGGUCAGGUAGAGUAUACCAAGGCGCUUGAGAGAACUAUGCUGAAGGAACUCGGCAAAAUGCUCCCG
rnacentral:rRNA from 1 species